rnacentral:tRNA from 1 species
GGGCGUGUGGCUUAGUUGGGCUUCACUUAGCAACCCUGUUCAGGGAUUGCGAAAGGUACUGGGUUCGACUCCCAGCUCGCCCA